CUAUAAAUAUGAAAGCUGACUGUUUGAAAAGAUAAAGAUUAAUAUAAUCUGGUGAGAACAAAUGCUUACUAAAUUUUGAAAACUGCACUAAAGUCUCAUUUUGUCUUGGCCAAAAGGAUUGUAUAAAAAUUGUAAGAGCCAACUUAAUCAGUAGGGGUAUAUAGUGAAUAAAGUCUAUUAAACACAUUAAAUAGUGAAAGAAGAACCAGCCAUUUAAAAUAGUUGACAACAUUUUCUGAAGCGACUGUAGAAAGUGAAAUAAAGAGAAAUGAAAUGUAAAAGCACAGUUGACCUUUGAAUAACACAGGUUUAAAUUGUGUGGGUUCACUUAUACAAAGAUUUUUUUCAACCAAGUGCAGACUCAAGAUACAGUAAUUGCUGGAUGUGAAACCUGCACACAUGGAGGGCUGACUUUUUCCGCAAAUUCCGCUGGGCCCAUUUUGCGACUUGAGUGUGCUAGGAUUUUGGUAUAUGCAGGGGUCCUAGAAACAAUCCCCCAUGUAUAUGGAGGGAUGACUGCCGUUCUCCCAAAUCUUGCUCCACCAGAAGGACAGGAGCUUUAACAGAAAAGCAGUAGCUUUGAAUCAGA
rnacentral:lncRNA from 1 species